rnacentral:rRNA from 1 species
UGGAGUAUGUGGUUUAAUUCGAUGCAACGCGAAGAACCUUACCUGGUCUUGACAUCCCGGAGACCCAUAGGAAACUAGGGGGUGCUUCCAUCUGGAAGAAUCUGGAGACAGGUGCUGCAUGGCUGUCGUCAGCUCGUGUCGUGAGAUGUUGGGUUAAGUCCCGCAACGAGCGCAACCCUUGCCUUUAGUUGCCAGCAGUUCGGCUGGGCACUCUAAAGGGACUGCCGGUGUUAAACCGGAGGAAGGUGGGGAUGACGUCAAGUCCUCAUGGCCUUUAUGACCAGGGCUACACACGUACUACAAUGGCCGAUACAAAGGGCAGCGACACUGCGAGGUGAAGCCAAUCCCGUAAAAUCGGUCUCAGUCCGGAUUGGAGUCUGCAACUCGACUCCAUGAAGUUGGAAUCGCUAGUAAUCGUGGAUCAGCAUGCCACGGUGAAUACGUUCCCGGGCCUU